CCUACGGGAGGCAGCAGUGGGGAAUAUUGGGCAAUGGGCGCAAGCCUGACCCAGCAACGCCGCGUGAAGGAAGAAGGCUUUCGGGUUGUAAACUUCUUUUUAGAGGGAAGAGCAGAAGACGGUACCUCUUGAAUAAGCCACGGCUAACUACGUGCCAGCAGCCGCGGUAAUACGUAGGUGGCAAGCGUUGUCCGGAUUUACUGGGUGUAAAGGGCGUGCAGCCGGGAAGACAAGUCAGAUGUGAAAUCCCGCGGCUCAACCGCGGCACUGCAUUUGAAACUGUUUUUCUUGAGUACCGGAGAGGUCAUCGGAAUUCGUUGUGUAGCGGUGAAAUGCGUAGAUAUAAGGAAGAACACCAGUGGCGAAGGCGAAUGACUGGACGGCAACUGACGGUGAGGCGCGAAAGCGUGGGGAGCGAACAGGAUUAGAUACCCGUGUAGUC
rnacentral:rRNA from 1 species